GGACCCGCACAAGUAGUGGAGCAUGUGGUUUAAUUCGAAGAUACGCGCAGAACCUUACCAACACUUGACAUGUUCGUCGCGACUUUAAGAGAUUAAAGUUUUCGGUUCGGCCGGACGAAACACAGGUGCUGCAUGGCUGUCGUCAGCUCGUGUCGUGAGAUGUUGGGUUAAGUCCCGCAACGAGCGCAACCCUCACUUUUAGUUGCCAUCAUUAAGUUGGGCACUCUGAAAGAACUGCCAGUGAUAAGCUGGAGGAAGGUGGGGAUGACGUCAAGUCCUCAUGGCCCUUACGUGUUGGGCUACACACGUGCUACAAUGGUAUCUACAACAGGAAGCAAGACGGCGACGUUAAGCAAAUCCUUAAAAGAUACCUCAGUUCGGAUUGCACUCUGCAACUCGAGUGCAUGAAGCUGGAAUUACUAGUAA
rnacentral:rRNA from 1 species